rnacentral:rRNA from 1 species
UACGUAGGGUGCAAGCGUUGUCCGGAAUUAUUGGGCGUAAAGAGCUUGUAGGCGGUUUGUCGCGUCUGCCGUGAAAAUCCGAGGCUCAACCUCGGACUUGCGGUGGGUACGGGCAGACUAGAGUGUGGUAGGGGAGACUGGAAUUCCUGGUGUAGCGGUGAAAUGCGCAGAUAUCAGGAGGAACACCGAUGGCGAAGGCAGGUCUCUGGGCCACUACUGACGCUGAGAAGCGAAAGCGUGGGGAGCGAACAGG